rnacentral:rRNA from 1 species
ACGGCUGCUCAGUAACACGUAGUCAACUUACCCUAUGGACGAGGAUAAUCUCGGGAAACUGAGCAUAAUACUCGAUAGAUCAUAAUGCCUGGAAUGGUUUAUGGUUGAAAUGAUUCGUCGCCAUAGGAUGGGACUGCGGCCUAUCAGCUUGUUGGUGAGGUAAUGGCCCACCAAGGCGAUUACAGGUACGGGCUCUGAGAGGAGAAGCCCGGAGAUGGGUACUGAGACAAGGACCCAGGCCCUAUGGGGCGCAGCAGGCGAGAAAACUUUGCAAUGUGCGAAAGCACGACAAGGUUAAUCCGAGUGAUUUCUGUUAAAGAAAUCUUUUGCAAGUCAUAAAACCACUAGUGAAUAAGGGGUGGGCAAGUUCUGGUGUCAGCCGCCGCGGUAAAACCAGCACCUCAAGUGGUCAGGAGGAUUAUUGGGCCUAAAGCAUCCGUAGCCGGCUCUGUAAGUUUUCGGUUAAAUCCAUGUGCUCAACGCAUGGGCUGCCGAAAAUACUGCAUAGCUAGGGAGUGGGAGAGGUAGACGGUACUCGGUAGGAAGGGGUAAAAUCCUUUGAUCUAUCGAUGACCACCUGUGGCGAAGGCGGUCUACCAGAACACGUUCGACGGUGAGGGAUGAAAGCUGGGGGAGCAAACCGGAUUAGAUACCCGGGUAGUCCCAGCUGUAAACGAUGCAGACUCGAUGAUGCAUUGGCAUAUAGCCAGUGCAGUGUCGCAGGGAAGCCGUUAAGUCUGCCGCCUGGGAAGUACGUACGCAAGUAUGAAACUUAAAGGAAUUGGCGGGGGAGCAG